rnacentral:tRNA from 1 species
UGCCGGGUCGUCUAAUGGCAGGACAGCGGCCUUUGGAGCCGUUAAUCGUGGUUCGAAUCCACGCCCGGCAGCUA